rnacentral:sRNA from 1 species
GCCGGGUGUGGUGGCACAUGCCUGUAGUCCCAACUACCCUGGAGGCUGGGGUGGGAGGAUCACUUUAGCCCAGGAGGUGGAGGUUGCAGUGAACUGAGAUCAUGCCCCUGUACUCCAGCCUGGGUGAGAGUGAGACUCUGUCUUAAAAAAAAAAAAAAAAAAGACUGGGAGCAGUGGCUCAUGCCUGUAAUCCCAGUACUUUGGGCUGAGGCAGGUGGAUCACGAGGUCAGGAGUUCAAGACCAGCCUGGCCAAGAUGGUGAAACCCCGUCUGU